UCUUUGCUAGUAUAUCGGUUAGUACACGCGCCUGUCAUCAUGAUGCUUCAUCAAUUGACGCGCGAAAGCUGGGUUCGACUCCCAGGCAAAGAG